rnacentral:misc_RNA from 1 species
UAGAGCCAGUCCCACAUGCCAGUCAC